rnacentral:snRNA from 1 species
AUACCUUUCUCAGCCUUUUGGCUAAGCUAAAGUGUAAUAUUUGUUCUUAUCAAUUUAAUAUCUUAUAUGUGGACCGUAUGUUUACUUUGAUAUUAAAUUUAUCUGUUUAUGGGUAUCUUUU